rnacentral:rRNA from 1 species
AACGAACGUUAGCGGCGCGCUUAACACAUGCAAGUCGAACGAGAAAGGGCUUCGGCCCCGGUACAGUGGCGCACGGGUGAGUAACACGUGGGUAACCUUCCCUCGAGCGGGGGAUAACGUUCCGAAAGGAACGCUAAUACCGCAUAAGACCACGGGCUCGAAAGAGCCUGGGGUAAAAGUAGGCCUCUGAAUUCACGCUUACACUCGAGGAUGGGCCCGCGGCCCAUCAUGGUAGUUGGUAGGGUAACGGCCUACCAAGCCGAAGACGGGUAGCUGGUCUUAGAGGAUGAUCAGCCACACUGGAACUGAGACACGGUCCAGACUCCUACGGGAGGCAGCAGUGGGGAAUCUUGCGCAAUGGGCGAAAGCCUGACGCAGCGACGCCGCGUGGGUGAUGAAGGCCUUCGGGUUGUAAAGCUCUGUGGGGAGAGACGAACAAGACGUGGCUAACAUCCACGGCGAUGACGGUAUCUCCUUAGCAAGCACCGGCUAACUCUGUGCCAGCAGCCGCCGUAAGAC